rnacentral:rRNA from 1 species
UCCUUAGAUGUUCUGGGCUGCACGCGCGCUACACUGAUGCGCUCAACGAGUUUACGACCUUGCCCGGAAGGGUUGGGUAAUCUUUUUAAAACGCAUCGUGAUGGGGAUAGAUUAUUGCAAUUAUUAAUCUUUAACGAGGAAUUCCUAGUAAGCGCGAGUCAUCAGCUCGUGCUGAUUACGUCCCUGCCCUUUGUACACACCGCCCGUCGCUCCUACCGAUUGAAUGAUCCGGUGAAUAAUUCGGACUGCAGCAGUGUUCAGUUCCUGAACGUUGCAGCGGAAAGUUUAGUGAACCUUAUCACUUAGAGGAAGGAGAAGUCGUAACA